rnacentral:rRNA from 1 species
AUUGAACGCUGGCGGCAGGCCUAACACAUGCAAGUCGAGCGGAUGAAGGGAGCUUGCUCCUGGAUUCAGCGGCGGACGGGUGAGUAAUGCCUAGGAAUCUGCCUGGUAGUGGGGGAUAACGUCCGGAAACGGGCGCUAAUACCGCAUACGUCCUGAGGGAGAAAGUGGGGGAUCUUCGGACCUCACGCUAUCAGAUGAGCCUAGGUCGGAUUAGCUAGUUGGUGGGGUAAAGGCCUACCAAGGCGACGAUCCGUAACUGGUCUGAGAGGAUGAUCAGUCACACUGGAACUGAGACACGGUCCAGACUCCUACGGGAGGCAGCAGUGGGGAAUAUUGGACAAUGGGCGAAAGCCUGAUCCAGCCAUGCCGCGUGUGUGAAGAAGGUCUUCGGAUUGUAAAACACUUUAAGUUGGGAGGAAGGGCAGUAAGUUAAUACCUGGCUGUUUUGACGUUACCAACAGAAUAAGCACCGGCUAACUUCGUG